CAUCCUAAAUGAAGUAACCCAAUCCCAAAAGGACAUGCAUGGGAAGAGCACACUGCCAUUCUUAAGAACGGAAUCCUGGCCCAAACUGCACCCAUCACAUAACCAUUAUCUGCAGUUUAAAAAGGACUCCACUUCCUGUUUCAGAACACUGCUCAUACCAUCAACAGCUCAAGUUUAUUCCUGAGAUUGCACAUUGCUCUUUCUAAAAUGUUUCUUUGUAUGGCAUUUUGCCUCUAGGGUCUAUGGCCUAUUCAGUCUGAAUAUCUCAAUUGGCAGAAGAACGCUGAGGAACCUCUGGAUUUGAUUGUAUAUGUCGAAUCUACAGUCCUGGCUGUUACUACAACUCCCCUGCCUACCUCUGCCUCCAUGCUCACUCCCUAGUCCCAACACAGUGAGAAAGGCUCACUGUUGUGGGGCCCCCAUUGUUCAGAGAAAGAAGAGCCCAGACUCAGCUAACUUCCUGCAGGGCAGAUGGGGCUCACUGGUUUCUGGCUUCUUGUAUGGCUUCUGCUGGGAACAGAAGUGAGUCCUAUUCAGUCACUCAUCCAUCUAGCCAUCCCUCCAGGAAGGGGCUUCUGCCUUGUGCCAGCGGUAAAUGUGGGGUCCACGGUGGGGAAUAGGCAGCUGGCCAUCCCUCCUGCCCCUGUGCAGCUUGCAUUCUGUAGAAUGAGAAAGAUGGCAAACCAAACUGCAGUGAGAUAUAUGACGUGAAUUAAAGUAUGUGUGAAGGCAAACAGCUGGAGACAUUUUUCAUACAAUGGAUUCAAGGAAGCAACCCUCAAGGGAAGAUACGGAGCUGGCUGUGUGCAAAGCCCAACGGGAGCCAUUCCAAACAGAAAGAGCACCGUGGCUGGUUCUGGAACAAGAAAAGGGAGAGUCUGUGGUAUGGCCUGUUCUUGAGAAGAGGCAAAAGUGGGGCCUAACUAGCAGAGGUAUGGAUGGUAGCGACACCUGAGGUAGUGGAAGGUCACAGAACUAGAUCUCUGAGGGACAAACAGGAAAGACAGGACCCCGCGUCAUUGUGAAUAUUCUGGACCUACACAUUCUAGUGCUUUGACCGGGACUUCCUGGCUGCCUGGAGCACACAACCCGUUAACCAGAAGCUGCUCCAAGAAAUCAGACUUGCAAGAGCCCUCACUACACAUGUGCCUGCAGUCAAAAUGCAUGGAUUCAUGUGGUGGGGCAAUCACCACAGAAUAAAGACAGUCCCUGGCUCGCAUGGGUUGAGCUGAUCUUAAGGUGUAAAAAGUAGAGACAGGCCUGGAUUGCCACAGCUCUGGAGAAUUUCACACUUGGAUUCUGUGUGCCCGGCAGGGUGUGAGAGAAAUUUACAUUCAUCCUCUGGAACUGGUUGAAGCCUUUCCACCAGUUUUGAGCAAAUCAGAAGGAGGAGGAAAAGGAGGAAGAGAAGAGGAGGAAGAGGGAGAGGAGGAGGAGGAAGAAGAGGAAGAGAAAGAAGGAGGAGAAGGGAGGUAAGGUUAUUUCAACCACAGUUAUAUCCAGGCCAGCUGCAGAGGGUGUUAUCAAGUUAGCUGCUAAGAAAACCCACCUUGAGGCUUAAACUUACACCCUUGGGGUGGGGGGUGGGGAGGGAGGAGUCUUUGAAAACAGUUCUGUGCCUUCAAUAGCUCACAAUGCAGCCCUCCUUCACAGCCUGCAGAACAACAGGCCUUGACACUUUAAUUGUUCUAAUAGAAACCGUUAAUGGGGUUUUAGUAAAAAUAGAACUCAAAUAGACUUCAAGGCUCCUGUUUUUCUGCAGCCAGAGAUACUGACUAGAAAUUCAUUUCCACCGUGGCAGGGUUGGAAGUUCCAUAUAUGCAGGAGUGUGGGUAAAGAGUCAGUAUUUUAACAGCCAUAUUGGUCUAGAAAUGUUGAACUUAAUUUUUUUUUCCAUUUGUACAGGGGUAACGCACUGUAUUAAAUAUGUAAGGUCUUAUCUACAUGGGUUUGAUUACAAAAACUAAUAAAGUAUUCUCUAAAUAAAAAAAAAAAAA